rnacentral:rRNA from 1 species
AUUGAAUGCUGGCGGCAUGCCUUACACAUGCAAGUCGAACGGUAACAGGUCUUUCGGGAUGCUGACGAGUGGCGAACGGGUGAGUAAUACAUCGGAACGUGCCUAGUAGUGGGGGAUAACUACUCGAAAGAGUGGCUAAUACCGCAUGAGAUCUACGGAUGAAAGCAGGGGACCUUCGGGCCUCGUGAUACUAGCGCGGCCGAUGGCAGAUUAGGUAGUGGGUGGAAUAAAAGCUUACCAAGCCUGCGAUCUGUAGCUGGUCUGAGAGGACGAUCAGCCACACUGGGACUGAGACACGGCCCAGACUCCUACGGGAGGCAGCAGUGGGGAAUUUUGGACAAUGGGGGAAACCCUGAUCCAGCAAUGCCGCGUGCAGGAUGAAGGCCUUCGGGUUGUAAACUGCUUUUGUACGGAACGAAAAGUCUUGGGUUAAUACCCUGGGAUCAUGACGGUACCGUAAGAAUAAGCACCGGCUAACUACGUGCCAGCAGCCGCGGUAACAC